rnacentral:rRNA from 1 species
UGGGGAAUAUUGCACAAUGGGCGCAAGCCUGAUGCAGCCAUGCCGCGUGUGUGAAGAAGGCCUUCGGGUUGUAAAGCACUUUCAGCGAGGAGGAAGGUGGUGAGCUUAAUACGCUCAUCAAUUGACGUUACUCGCAGAAGAAGCACCGGCUAACUCCGUGCCAGCAGCCGCGGUAAUACGGAGGGUGCAAGCGUUAAUCGGAAUUACUGGGCGUAAAGCGCACGCAGGCGGUUUGUUAAGUCAGAUGUGAAAUCCCCGGGCUCAACCUGGGAACUGCAUUUGAAACUGGCAAGCUAGAGUCUCGUAGAGGGGGGUAGAAUUCCAGGUGUAGCGGUGAAAUGCGUAGAGAUCUGGAGGAAUACCGGUGGCGAAGGCGGCCCCCCUGGACGAAGACUGACGCUCAGGUGCGAAAGCGUGGGGCAGCAAACAGGAUUAGAUACCCUGGUAGUCCACGCUGUAAACGAUGUCGAUUUGGAGGUUGUGCCCCUUGAGGCGU